GCAUCGGUGUAGCUCUUAUGAAGAUUGCUGCCUGGAAAUGAAACGUUGAGAGGGGUCCAACAAGAUUCGUCCAUGGAAUGUUUGUAACCACUUCCAUCCUCCUUCAGCGGAGAAGCAGCUACAACUGAUGCUGUGUAAAUCAGCCGUCUAACUGUUCCUGUUUUUAUGCAUUGCGCAACUAUGCUUUUUACCCCUUCUGUUGCAGCUUCAGCUACACCCUUAUACUGCUACCAGGGAGUAGCAAGGUGAAAGACAAAGUCACAGCCUUGAAUUGCAGCCUCAAAUUGAUGUGGACUGUACAAAUCUGCCUCAAAUAACACCAGCUUUUCUUUUGCCUCUGGAAACCCUCUCAGAAUGCCUGUCUUUGCGUCCUCUGCAAUAUAUAUGAAAUCAACAAAUAAUGGAUCUGAUAUGCCAAUAAUAAAUAAAUAAGAUUUCAUAAUAAUUAUAAUCAUAUCAUAUAUACUUAAGCUUCUAAGGGUUGCGUGGACAGUGUAGCCCUUUUGGAGAAGCUUGUUAACGAGGUAAGAACCAAUGAAGCUGCCACCGCCGGUGACGCAUACCUUCCACUCCCUCUUCUUCUCCAUCGUUAUCUAUCUUUUUCCUCCUCUUCUCUUACCACCCACUACUGCAGUGUUUUAGAAAGGUCGGAACCAUCACUAUCUACUUUUUUCAAUAUUGUGUAUAAUGUAUUAUAUUUAUUUCAUCGAGACUAAUUCACUCA